CGAGUGAAGCGACAAAAGCUCAAAUUUGAAAUCUGGCACCUUCGGUGUCCGAGUUGUAAUUUGAAGAAGGUAACUUUGGAGUUGGCUCUUGUCUAUGUUCCUUGGAACAGGACGUCACAGAGGGUGAGAAUCCCGUGCGAUGAGAUGUCCAACUCUAUGUAAAGUGCUUUCGAAGAGUCGAGUUGUUUGGGAAUGCAGCUCUAAGUGGGUGGUAAAUUCCAUCUAAAGCUAAAUAUUGGCGAGAGACCGAUAGCGAACAAGUACAGUGAUGGAAAGAUGAAAAGAACUUUGAAAAGAGAGUGAAAAAGUACGUGAAAUUGUUGAAAGGGAAGGGUUUGAGAUCAGACUUGGUAUUUUGUAUGUCUUGCUUUCGGGUGGGGCCUCUGCAGUUUACUGGGCCAGCAUCGGUUUGGACGGUAGGAUAAUGACAUUGGAAUGUGGCACUACUUCGGUGGUGUGUUAUAGACUUUGUUGAUACUGCCUGUCUAGACCGAGGACUGCGUCUUUGACUAGGAUGCUGGCAUAAUGAUCCUAAACCGC
rnacentral:rRNA from 1 species